AAAGUAGCUCAGCAGGUGAGAGCGGCGGCCUUAUAAGCCGUGUGUCGGGAGUUCGAAUCUCCCCUUUC
rnacentral:tRNA from 1 species